CCGCGGUAAUACGGAGGAUGCGAGCGUUAUCCGGAUUCAUUGGGUUUAAAGGGUGCGUAGGCGGACUAUUAAGUCAGUGGUGAAAUCCUGCAGCUUAACUGCAGAACUGCCAUUGAUACUGAUAGCCUUGAGUUUGGUUAAGGUAGGCGGAAUGUGUAAUGUAGCGGUGAAAUGCUUAGAUAUUACACAGAACACCAAUUGCGUAGGCAGCUUACUGAGCCGACACUGACGCUGAGGCACGAAAGCGUGGGGAUCGAACAG
rnacentral:rRNA from 1 species